GACGAACGCUGGCGGCGUGCCUAAACCAUGCAAGUCGAACGAGGGCAUAGCUUCGGUUAUGCCUGAGUGGCGGACGGGUGAGUAACGCGUGAACAACCAACCCUAUACAGGGGGACAACAGCUGGAAACGGCUGCUAAUACCGCAUAAGACCACGUUAUCGCAUGAUAGUGGGGUCAAAGGAGAAAUCCGGUAUAGGACGGGUUCGCGUCCCAUUAGCUAGUUGGCGGGGUAACAGCCCACCAAGGCAACGAUGGGUAGCCGAGCUGAGAGGCUGAACGGCCACACUGGAACUGAGAGACGGUCCAGACUCCUACGGGAGGCAGCAGGUAGGAAUAUUGGGCAAUGGGGGAAACCCUGACCCAGCAACGCCGCGUGAAGGAAGAAGGCCUUCGGGUUGUAAACGUUCUGUGACAGGGGACGAAAGAAAUGACGGUACCCUGAGAGGAAGCUCCGGCAACUACGUGCCAGCAGCCGCGGUAAGACGUAGCGUG
rnacentral:rRNA from 1 species